GGUUAAGCGACUAAGCGUACACGGUGGAUGCCCUGGCAGUCAGAGGCGAUGAAGGGCGUGCUAAUCUGCGAUAAGCGCCGGUAAGGUGAUAUGAACCGUUAUAACCGGCGAUACCCGAAUGGGGAAACCCAGUGUGACUCGUCACACUAUCAUUAACUGAAUCCAUAGGUUAAUGAGGCGAACCGGGGGAACUGAAACAUCUAAGUACCCCGAGGAAAAGAAAUCAACCGAGAUUCCCCCAGUAGCGGCGAGCGAACGGGGAGGAGCCCAGAGCCUGAAUCAGCAUGUGUGUUAGUGGAAGCGUCUGGAAAGGCGCGCGAUACAGGGUGACAGCCCCGUACACAAAAGCGCAUGUGUUGUGAGCUCGAUGAGUAGGGCGGGACACGUGGUAUCCUGUCUGAAUAUGGGGGGACCAUCCUCCAAGGCUAAAUACUCCUGACUGACCGAUAGUGAACCAGUACCGUGAGGGAAAGGCGAAAAGAACCCCGGCGAGGGGAGUGAAAAAGAACCUGAAACCGUGUACGUACAAGCAGUGGGAGCACCCUUUGGGGUGUGACUGCGUACCUUUUGUAUAAUGGGUCAGCGACUUAUAUUCUGUAGCAAGGUUAACCGAAUAGGGGAGCCGGAGGGAAACCGAGUCUUAAUUGGGCGUUAAGUUGCAGGGUAUAGACCCGAAACCCGGUGAUCUAGCCAUGGGCAGGUUGAAGGUUGGGUAACACUAACUGGAGGACCGAACCGACUAAUGUUGAAAAAUUAGCGGAUGACCUGUGGCUGGGGGUGAAAGGCCAAUCAAACCGGGAGAUAGCUGGUUCUCCCCGAAAGCUAUUUAGGUAGCGCCUCGUGAAUUCAUCUCCGGGGGUAGAGCACUGUUUCGGCUAGGGGGCCAUCCCGGCUUACCAACCCGAUGCAAACUGCGAAUACCGGAGAAUGUUAUCACGGGAGACACACGGCGGGUGCUAACGUCCGUCGUGAAGAGGGAAACAACCCAGACCGCCAGCUAAGGUCCCAAAGUCAUGGUUAAGUGGGAAACGAUGUGGGAAGGCCCAGACAGCCAGGAUGUUGGCUUAGAAGCAGCCAUCAUUUAAAGAAAGCGUAAUAGCUCACUGGUCGAGUCGGCCUGCGCGGAAGAUGUAACGGGGCUAAACCAUGCACCGAAGCUGCGGCAGCGACGCUUAUGCGUUGUUGGGUAGGGGAGCGUUCUGUAAGCCUGUGAAGGUGUGUCGUGAGGCAUGCUGGAGGUAUCAGAAGUGCGAAUGCUGACAUAAGUAACGAUAAAGCGGGUGAAAAGCCCGCUCGCCGGAAGACCAAGGGUUCCUGUCCAACGUUAAUCGGGGCAGGGUGAGUCGACCCCUAAGGCGAGGCCGAAAGGCGUAGUCGAUGGGAAACGGGUUAAUAUUCCCGUACUUGGUGUUACUGCGAAGGGGGGACGGAGAAGGCUAUGUUGGCCGGGCGACGGUUGUCCCGGUUUAAGCGUGUAGGUGUGUGUUCCAGGUAAAUCCGGUUCACUUUAACACUGAGGCGUGACGACGAGGCACUACGGUGCUGAAGCAACAAAUGCCCUGCUUCCAGGAAAAGCCUCUAAGCAUCAGGUAACAUCAAAUCGUACCCCAAACCGACACAGGUGGUCAGGUAGAGAAUACCAAGGCGCUUGAGAGAACUCGGGUGAAGGAACUAGGCAAAAUGGUGCCGUAACUUCGGGAGAAGGCACGCUGACACGUAGGUGAAGUGAUUUACUCAUGGAGCUGAAGUCAGUCGAAGAUACCAGCUGGCUGCAACUGUUUAUUAAAAACACAGCACUGUGCAAACACGAAAGUGGACGUAUACGGUGUGACGCCUGCCCGGUGCCGGAAGGUUAAUUGAUGGGGUCAGCGCAAGCGAAGCUCCUGAUCGAAGCCCCGGUAAACGGCGGCCGUAACUAUAACGGUCCUAAGGUAGCGAAAUUCCUUGUCGGGUAAGUUCCGACCUGCACGAAUGGCGUAAUGAUGGCCAGGCUGUCUCCACCCGAGACUCAGUGAAAUUGAACUCGCUGUGAAGAUGCAGUGUACCCGCGGCAAGACGGAAAGACCCCGUGAACCUUUACUAUAGCUUGACACUGAACAUUGAGCCUUGAUGUGUAGGAUAGGUGGGAGGCUUUGAAGCGUGGACGCCAGUCUGCGUGGAGCCGACCUUGAAAUACCACCCUUUAAUGUUUGAUGUUCUAACGUGGACCCGUAAUCCGGGUUGCGGACAGUGUCUGGUGGGUAGUUUGACUGGGGCGGUCUCCUCCUAAAGAGUAACGGAGGAGCACGAAGGUUGGCUAAUCCUGGUCGGACAUCAGGAGGUUAGUGCAAUGGCAUAAGCCAGCUUGACUGCGAGCGUGACGGCGCGAGCAGGUGCGAAAGCAGGUCAUAGUGAUCCGGUGGUUCUGAAUGGAAGGGCCAUCGCUCAACGGAUAAAAGGUACUCCGGGGAUAACAGGCUGAUACCGCCCAAGAGUUCAUAUCGACGGCGGUGUUUGGCACCUCGAUGUCGGCUCAUCACAUCCUGGGGCUGAAGUAGGUCCCAAGGGUAUGGCUGUUCGCCAUUUAAAGUGGUACGCGAGCUGGGUUUAGAACGUCGUGAGACAGUUCGGUCCCUAUCUGCCGUGGGCGCUGGAGAACUGAGGGGGCUGCUCCUAGUACGAGAGGACCGGAGUGGACGCAUCACUGGUGUUCGGGUUGUCAUGCCAAUGGCACUGCCCGGUAGCUAAAUGCGGAAGAGAUAAGUGCUGAAAGCAUCUAAGCACGAAACUUGCCCCGAGAUGAGUUCUCCCUGAGACUUAGAGUCUCCUGAAGGAACGUUGAAGACGACGACGUUGAUAGGCCGGGUGUGUAAGCGCAGCGAUGCGUUGAGCUAACCGGUACUAAUGAACCGUGAGGCUUAACCUU
rnacentral:rRNA from 1 species